UUAAACUUCUGAUUUUUUUUUUAAUGGAGUCUUGCUCUGUCACCCAGGCUAGAGUACAGUGGCUCACACAUGUAAUCCCAGCACUUCGGGGGCUGAGGUGGGAGGGUCGCUUGAGCCCAGAAGGUGGAGUGGGCGAUUGGAUAUAGAAAGAAGGCAAUUCCAAUUCUGCCAGUAAGCUGGGUUUGUUUUGUGACCUUAGGCCAGAGACUUGGCUUCUUCAGGCCUCAGUUUCCCUUUCUUUCUU
rnacentral:lncRNA from 1 species